UUUUGGUCACUGCUUGGGGGAUUAUUCAUUCUUACAAUGGUAAAGGUUGUCCGGAGCGAGUUUCGUCACACAUAAAAGUUUGAGCUCUGGCCUAGCACAACUCAGCACAUGUCACAGAUUCGACUUUUGGAUUUAAAAAAAAAGAAUCAUUUUUUUGAUGUUUUGUUUGAAUUUUUUUUCAAAAAUGAAAACGGCACAAGCGAGCACAAUUCGAGGACAACUCGGCACAAGUCGCAGAUCUUCGAAUAACGGUACGGUAAGCGAAACUAAAUACGGCACAAGUUAGCACAAAUUGAGCACAAUUCAGCACGAUUUGAAAAAAGUUGAUAUUCGAAAAGUGCUGGGCUGGUCGUAAUUUGGUUUUUUCAAAAUUCCUGGAAAACUGUCGAGGUUGAGAGAUCAAGUUUUACGGCACAAGUGAGCACAAAAGGAGCACAACUCAGCACAAUUUUUAAAAAUAUUAAUUUCGAAAAGUGCUGGGCCAAGUUCACACACAUAAUGAUUGAUCCUGUUAGCUUGUAUAUCGAUCGAUAAGAAGUGGUUCUGUGGUUUCUUCCCAUAAAAGUAUAAGAAUACAGCAGGGGAGCUGUAAGCUUUCGUGCAAGCAGAAGUGUCUCCUUACCAGAGAAAGAAAAUCAAGGUUUUCGAAUGCCACUGGUGAGAAAAGGAUUAUUGUCUUUAUAUUGAAUGUGCAGUUACUGAGUAUGUGGUGUAAACGUUAAUAAGGAAUUGCGUCAAAUUAGAGAUGUUCAACAUUUAUGAAUGAAAAUGAAAAUUUGCGAGAAAAACAACGAAAUGCAUAUGGCACAACCAAUUGCCAGCGUCGGAAUAAUGGAGUAGAAAUAAUUCAAGCCUGUUUGCUACUUGUAAAGGACAAUGGCGCAAUAUUUCGAAGAAAUCCGAAUCAAACAGACGCAAUGCAUCUAUUGUCAUAAGCCAGCGUGAUACAAAAAUUCUCUUCAACUCUAUUUUCCUCAUUCCUGAGUAGUGCGUGUUGGCCUUGCUGUGGCGUCAAAGUUGAAAAAUGGUGAGUGUGCGCUUUCAAUAUUAAUUUUGGUAGUUGGCUGACAAAGUUUCAGUAAUAUACUCGAGUUGGUUGAAUUAGUUUAGAGCCGUAGCAGAGGACUGAUAAAUGGCUCGACAGUGGUACAUUAUUGAAUGAGUCAAGCAACUAGAAGCCUAUGGAUUUGUUCUGUGCAUCAGGGGCUUCAUAUUUUGGUCCAAGUAAACACCUUUAUAAAUUUGAACAGAUUCUGUGAUCCGAAGGUGUGAUAUUCUGCUUGUUAGUGUCCGUGUUUGUUAUUUUGAUUUACGCCGCAAGGUGCGGUUAUGAUGUCGGGAUGUGAUGUGAAACAAAGAAAAAAGCAGCUUCCGUCUCUUUUUCUCCCAAAUGCGGCGCAUGCGCCGUCGAUCCUAGUUCAGACUACCAUCACCACUGAUAAUUCUGUUCUUUGCAAGACCUAUAUGUAAGACUGUACUCUUAUGCACGGAACUCUAUAUACACUGGAAUGCGCGCAAUGGAAGUGGGGGCCGGUGAGAGCAAGUUAGUUGUUUCAUACCUUCCGUACUUGUCGCACACAUAACUGCGUUCUGUGCUGCAAAUGUAAGUCAGGUGCUUUGACAGAUCUUGGAAGCGCAUCGAAUUUAGAUAUUAUCAGUGCAUUAUAUGUAUGUAUAAGUCCUUAUGAAACCAAUGAAAGGGAAGAAAAGUAUAUAAUAGAUGUGAGAAGAUAUAAUUCGAAAUUGUUUUAUUCAGUUCUCGGAUAUAUUACUGUCUAAUUAUCUUUAUACAAAUGUAAAUACGUGUCUCGGUAAUUAAUUCACUUUAAAGUGGAAUAGCUGUUUCAUCUAAAUAAAAUCAAAAAAAAUAUAACCAGGUUCAACUGUCAGCAACAGUUUAUGCCGCGCUUGAAGCAAACACCCCAACACACCAGUCAUUUGCUCUGACGGUCAAUGUUUUAUGCAAAAUGGUCAACACAUAUUAGACAAGUGCAGAAGGUAUAUAACACAACUAUCUCUCUCUUAUUGCUGGUCACUGCACUGAACAUAGAUCCGUGUGAUGUAAUAUACCUAUGUAUACAUCAGUUUGGGGACUUCUUGUAUAUCGCGAACCAUAUGAUCAAUAUUAGAACCAUGCCAUUCAUUUAUAGACAGUAAGUGGGAAACCCUCGCGAUCAAAAAUUUCGAUCAGUUUCCAGACCUGUAUAUAGGACAGGGUCCAAGCCCUACAGAAAGUUCUUAACAAACUGCAUCUUGGAUUUGGAUUAUAAUGAAAGGUCGAAUAAAUUGAAUCUUCCUUGACUAAAAAUGAGAAGAGAAAAAGGCGACCAAUUCCAAUGGUUUAUGCUUUUAACGGGUCAUUAUGAUAUGAAUCAGAAGGAGUUUUUCAGGCUAUCAAGGAACAUGCAGCUAUGAGACCAUCGUCUAAAACUUGA